ensembl:snRNA U4 U4 spliceosomal RNA
AGCUUUGCACAGUGGCAGUAUCAUAGCCAAUGUGGUUUAUCCAAGGCGCAAUUACUGCAAAUUGAAAACUUUUCCCAAGUCAUCACAGGCAACUGUGAUGACUUGCAACACAGUUGGCAUCGGCAAUUUUUGACAGUCUCUACGGAGA